rnacentral:rRNA from 1 species
AAUGAACGCUGGCGGCAGGCCUAACACAUGCAAGUCGAGCGAGCGGCGGACGGGUGAGUAAUGUAUGGGGACUGCCCGAUAGAGGGGGAGAACUACUGGAAACGGUGGCUAAUACCGCAUACUAUCGGAUAACCCAUAUGGGAUUAGCUAGUAGGUAAGGUAAUGGCUUACCUAGGCGACGAUCCCUAGCUGGUCUGAGAGGAGGAUCAGCCACACUGGGACGGAGACACGGCCCAGACUCCUACGGAGGCAGCAGUGGGGAAUAGUGCACAAUGGGCGAAAGCCUGAUGCAGCCAUGCCGCGUGUAUGAAGAAGGCCCUAGGGUUGUAAAGUACUUUCAGUCGGGAGGCGUUACCGACAGAAGAAGCACCGGCUAACUCCGUGCCAGCAGCCGCGGUAAUAC